rnacentral:rRNA from 1 species
UGGGGAAUCUUAGACAAUGGGGGAAACGCUGAUCUAGCCAUGCCGCGUGAGUGACGAAGGCCCUAGGGUCGUAAAGCUCUUUCGCCAGGGAAGAUAAUGACGGUACCUGGUAAAGAAACCCCGGCUAACUCCGUGCCAGCAGCCGCGGUAAUACGGAGGGGGUUAGCGUUGUUCGGAAUUACUGGGCGUAAAGCGCGCGUAGGCGGACUAUUAAGUUAGGGGUGAAAUCCCAGGGCUCAACCCUGGAACUGCCUCUAAUACUGGUAGUCUUGAGUUCGAGAGAGGUGAGUGGAAUUCCGAGUGUAGAGGUGAAAUUCGUAGAUAUUCGGAGGAACACCAGUGGCGAAGGCGGCUCACUGGCUCGAUACUGACGCUGAGGUGCGAAAGUGUGGGGAGCAAACAGGAUUAGAUACCCGCGUAGUCC